rnacentral:rRNA from 1 species
UACGUAGGUGGCAAGCGUUAUCCGGAUUUAUUGGGUGUAAAGGGCGUGUAGGCGGGAAUGCAAGUCAGAUGUGAAAACUAUGGGCUCAACCCAUAGCCUGCAUUUGAAACUGUAUUUCUUGAGUGCUGGAGGGGCAAUCGGAAUUCCUAGUGUAGCGGUGGAAUGCGUAGAUAUUAGGAGGAACACCAGUGGCGAAGGCGGAUUGCUAGACUGUAACUGACACUGAGGCACGAAAGCGUGGGGAGCAAACAGG